UACAGGUCAUUUGUUAUAAAUGCACAGUGGAAUAAAGUUGUAGGGGAUUUACAGUAAAAGACCCGUAGACCAGUUAUGAUGAAAGAAGAUCUCUGCUUUCUCUAUCAGAAAAGCCAACAGUCAGUCACCAAACCAAUGAUCCAACCGGAUCUAAACGUUAUGGAGGUCACCCCAUCUGUGCCAGACGUCAUGGAGGUCACCCCAGCUACGAGAAUCCAUGACUCGGCUGUGAUGAAACAGAUUCUGCUCACUGUGACUGGGUGAAGGAGUACCGAACCCACCUUGCUGGGAAAGUUCACCUACCACAGGUCACAAGAAUGAACGAGGGUGAUCAUUGGCCAAUAACUGUCUGUCUGUCUGUCUAAAAUAAUAAUAAUAUCUUGUUGUUCAUUCCUUUGCUUACUCCAGCUUUAAUCCUAGUAGAAUGGUCUUGUAAACUAACGGUACUGUUUAGCGUGUUGACAAAAUGUUUAUACUGUAUGCUCUACUACUUGUAAGUCGCUUUGGAUAAAAGCGUCUGCCAAAUGAAUAAAUGCAAAUGUAAAUGUAAAUUAUUCCUUGUUGGCUAUAACAAUGCGGGACCUAUUUAUUGACACCAUUUUCUAUGAUGGUGGCAUGGAUCAGG